GUAGGUGGCAAGCGUUGUCCGGAAUUAUUGGGCGUAAAGCGCGCGCAGGUGGGUUCUUUAAGUCUGAUGUGAAAGCCCCCGGGCUCAACCGGGGAGGGUCAUUGGAAACUGGGGAACUUGAGUGCAGGAGAGGAAAGUGGAAUUCCACGUGUAGCGGUGAAAUGCGUAGAUAUGUGGAGGAACACCAGUGGCGAAGGCGACUUUCUGGCCUGUAACUGACACUGAGGCGCGAAAGCGUGGGGAGCAAACAGGAUUAGAUACCCUGGUAGUCCACGCCGUAAACGAUGAGUGCUAAGUGUUGGGGGGUUUCCGCCCCUCAGCGCUGCAGCUAACGCAUUAAGCACUCCGCCUGGGGAGUACGGCCGCAAGACUGA
rnacentral:rRNA from 1 species